AUUGAACGCUGGCGGCAGGCCUAACACAUGCAAGUCGAACGAGUGGCGGACGGGUGAGUAAUGUCUGGGAAACUGCCUGAUGGAGGGGGAUAACUACUGGAAACGGUAGCUAAUACCGCAUACCAUCAGAUGUGCCCAGAUGGGAUUAGCUAGUUGGUGGGGUAACGGCUCACCAAGGCGACGAUCCCUAGCUGGUCUGAGAGGAUGACCAGCCCAACUGGGACUGGUACAGGGGCAAGACGCCUACGGGAGGCAGCAGUGGGGAAUAUUGCACAAUGGGCGCAAGCCUGAUGCAGCCAUGCGGCGUGUAUGAAGAAGGCCUGCGGGUUGUAAAGUACUUUCAGCGGGGAGGCGUUACCCGCAGAAGAAGCACCGGCUAACUCCGUGCCAGCCGCCGCGGUAAUUC
rnacentral:rRNA from 1 species